rnacentral:rRNA from 1 species
AUUAUUUAAAAGCCUAAAAUAUUUUUAAUUCACGAAGCCUAGCGAGCUAAAUUUUUUCUAUGUUAGUGGAUAAUUUUAAUGUAGAAAUAUUAUUAGACUAUGAGAAUUUAGGGGUGAAAGGCCUUUCAAGUUAGGUAAUAUCUUGAUUAUAAGGAAAUAUAUAUAGUAUAUAAUACAAACUAAAAAUGUUAAGGUUUUUAGUUAACAUAAUUUUAAUAUUAUUGUAAACUGAAUAUGUAAAAAUUACAGUUUAGUUAAUUAUAAAUAUAAAUCUUUAUUUAAAUAUGUAUAGUACUUGUAUAUUUAAAAUAACAAAAUUUAAAAUUGAAAAUGAUAAUAUUAGUAUUUAUAGUUAAACUUUUUUAAGGAACUCGGCAACCUAUAUUCUCGACUGUUUAACAAAAACAUGCCUUAAGAAAGUACCUAAGGUUUUACCCUGCUCAAUGAUAAAUUAAAUAGCCGCAGUACCCUGACUGUGCAAAGGUAGCAUAAUCAGUUGGCUUAUAAUUGAAGUCUAGUAUGAAUGGGAAUACGGGAAUAAGCUGUCUUACGUAAGUUUAUAGAAAUUUCUAAAAUAAGUGAAAAUUCUUAUAAUUAGACAAAAGACGAGAAGACCCUAGAAAUUUGUUAGAAACAUUUCUUAAAUUUUAUAUUUUGUUGGGGCGACAUGGUAGCAAAUUUUAAACCUACCAAAUUAGUAAUCAGAAACUAAUUAGUAGUAUAAAUAAAAUUACUCUAGGGAUAACAGCAUUAUUUAUUAUUAAGUUUGUGACCUCGAUGUUGGACUAGGGAAUACUCUACUUAAAAGGUAGAUUAGUAGGCUCUGUUCGAGCCAAUAUACCUACAUGAUCUGAGUUCAGACCGG